rnacentral:miRNA from 1 species
AUAUAUAUAUAUAUACACACACACACACACACACACACGUGCGCGUAUACAUAUGUGUGUGUAUAUAUAUAUAUAU